ACACUGAGGAGGGGCAGGAUCCACUGGCAGCCAGCCAGGGCAGGCAGGAGGAAGGCCUGGAGUCCAGUCUUCCCGGUCCCAGUGCCCAGCACGAGCAUCCCCCCUCCCCGCUCGGCUCCUGGCACUGGAGUCCCGGGUUCAAGUCCCAUUCACCAUCUGACGCCCUCUGAGGGCCUCACUUUCCCCAACUGAGAGCCAGGGCAGAGACAGGAUGGGGUCUGAGCUUGGGAUUCCCACUCCUUUAAGCCUUUCUUGGCCAGGAUGCAGCCCCGCGCAGCUUCAGAGCUCCUGUUACUGGACAGGGACUUCAACCAGGCUGACUGGCACGAGUCCUCACAAGAAAGGCAGAGAGAUGUGCCCAACACGAGGCUGGCAGUGUUGAGCUGCGGUGACUCAGUUGAUGGACAAGUGGAUGAGGUCAGCCAAGGGACCUUGGGGCUCUGCUGAAGGCUGUGACUGUGCAGUGGGGCCUGUGAAUCCUGUGUCCUUGUCCGGGGUCGCCUUUACCUCCAGAGUCCAUCAACCUCCCUGCUGCCGUGCCUGUGUGCUUGGGUCUCUCUCACACGGGUCUGCUCCUAUGUGUCCUGGAGAUAUCUGGUGGUCACCCCUGCCACCCCAGACUCAGGGGUGUGAGCCCACAGCCUCUCUGCCUGCAGGUCGGUCUGUGGAGCCCUGACCCUGAAACGCAAAG